GAUGAAGAACGUAGCGAAAUGCGAUAAGUAAUGUGAAUUGCAGAAUUCAGUGAAUCAUCGAAUCUUUGAACGCACAUUGCGCCCCCUGGUAUUCCGGGGGGCAUGCCUGUCCGAGCGUCAUUACAACCCUCAAGCUCAGCUUGGUGUUGGGCCCCGCCGCCCCGGCGGGCCCUAAAGUCAGUGGCGGUGCCGUCCGGCUCCGAGCGUAGUAAUUCUUCUCGCUCUGGAGGUCCGGUCGUGUGCUCGCCAGCAACCCCUAAUUUUUUUCAGGUUGACCUCGGAUCAGGUAGGGAUACCCGCUGAACUUAAGCAUAUCAAUAAGCGGAGGA
rnacentral:misc_RNA from 1 species